rnacentral:rRNA from 1 species
GACGGAAGGGGGCUAGCGUUGUUCGGAAUUACUGGGCGUAAAGCGAGUGUAGGUGGUUGGUCCAAAGUUGGAUGUGAAAGCCUUGAGCUCAACAUCAAGAAAUGCAUUCAGGACUGGGCGGCUAGAGGACCGGAGAGGAGUAGUGGAAUUCCCAGUGUAGGUGGUGGAAAAUACGUAGAGAUUGGGAAAGAACACCAGUGGCGAAGGCGGCUAUCUGGACGGUUUCUGACACUAAGACUCGAAAGCGAUGGGGAGCAAACAGG